AGUGAACGCUGGCGGUAGGCCUAACACAUGCAGGUCGAACGGCAGCACAGUAAGAGCUUGCUCUUACGGGUGGCGAGUGGCGGACGGGUGAGGAAUACAUCGGAAUCUACUUUUUCGUGGGUGAUAACGUAGGGAAACUUACGCUAAUACCGCAUACGAUCUACGGGUGAAAGCAGGGGAUCUUCGGACCUUGCGCGAUUGAAUGAGCCGAUGUCGGAUUAGCUAGUUGGCGGGGUAAAGGCCCACCAAGGCGACGAUCCGUAGCUGGUCUGAGAGGAUGAUCGGCCACACUGGAACUGAGACACGGUCCAGACUCCUACGGGAGGCAGCAGUGGGGAAUAUUGGACAAUGGGCGCAAGCCUGAUCCAGCCAUACCGCGUGGGUGAAGAAGGCCUUCGGGUUGUAAAGCCCUUUUGUUGGGAAAGAAAAGCAGCAGGUUAAUACCCCGCUGUUCUGACGGUACCCAAAGAAUAAGCACCGGCUAACUUCGUG
rnacentral:rRNA from 1 species